rnacentral:rRNA from 1 species
UAGUUUUUUAAUUGAAAGCUGGAAUGAAUGGCUGAAUAAGGAAAUAACUGUCUCUUUUUAAUUAAGUUGAACUUUAUUUUUAAGUUAAAAAGCUUAAAUUUAAUAGAAAGACGAGAAGACCCUAUAGAGUUUAAUAAAUUAAUAUUUUUAUAGUUUAGGGUUUUAUUAUAUAGAAAUAUUUAUUUAUUUUGUUGGGGUGACAAUAGAAUUUAAUUAACUUCUGGUUUUUAAUCAUUGAUUUAUGAAUAUAUGAUCCUAAUAUUUAGAUUAUAAGAAUAAAUUACCUUAGGGAUAACAGCGUAAUUUUUUUGGAGAGUUCUUAUCGAUAAAAGAGAUUGCGACCUCGAUGUUGGAUUAAAGUUUAAUUUUGGUGUAGAAGCUAAAAUAUUAAGACUGUUCGAC